AGGAGUGUAGUUUUAUCUAAAACAUUAGGUUUGCAUCUUAAAGAAAGUAGUUACUCGCUCUCA
rnacentral:tRNA from 1 species